rfam:Schistosoma mansoni, Puerto Rico, WGS project CABG01000000 data, contig: 0193
CUUUUCUGGUUCCUCCUCAUUUGCAGAUAAAUCUUUGGCCUUUUACUAAAGAUUUCCAUCGGAAGGCACAAUACAAUGAGUCUUAUCUCAUUUUUUCCAACUACGUUUCGUUUGCAGUG